UGGGGAAUAUUGCACAAUGGGGGAAACCCUGAUGCAGCGACGCCGCGUGAGCGAAGAAGGCUUUUGAGUCGUAAAGCUCUGUCCUAUGAGAAGAUAAUGACGGUAUCAUAGGAGGAAGCCCUGGCUAAAUACGUGCCAGCAGCCGCGGUAAUACGUAUGGGGCGAGCGUUGUCCGGAAUUAUUGGGCGUAAAGGGUACGUAGGCGGUUUUUUAAGUCAGGUGUCAAAGCGUGGAGCUUAACUCCAUUAAGCACUUGAAACUGAAAGACUUGAGUGAAGGAGAGGAAAGUGGAAUUCCUAGUGUAGCGGUGAAAUGCGUAGAUAUUAGGAGGAAUACCGGUGGCGAAGGCGACUUUCUGGACUUUUACUGACGCUCAGGUACGAAAGCGUGGGGAGCAAACAGG
rnacentral:rRNA from 1 species